rnacentral:rRNA from 1 species
GUCCACGCCCUAAACGAUGUCUACUAGUUGUUGGUGGAGUAAAAUCAAUUAGUAACGCAGCUAACGCGUGAAGUAGACCGCCUGGGGAGUACGGCCGCAAGGUUAAAACUCAAAGGAAUUGACGGGGGCCCGCACAAGCGGUGGAUUAUGUGGAUUAAUUCGAUGCAACGCGAAAAACCUUACCUGGCCUUGACAUGCUACUAACGAAGCAGAGAUGCAUCAGGUGCCCGAAAGGGAAAGUAGACACAGGUGCUGCAUGGCUGUCGU